AUGUUUUCUACAUGUUUGAUGAUCACCUUUCUGUUAAUAACAACUUUUAUCACAAUGGUAGUAACUGAACCAAAUAUAAUAAAGGCUCCAUGUAUAAAGGGUUAUAAGAGAGUUGGUAACCAAUGCCGCAAGGUCUUCGGACAAUAGAAGGUUAACUUACAGAAGUGGGAAUGUGGUUGCUGUUUGCAUUUCGAAAGCAAUACAAAUGAGUACAAACGCACAUUGUAAAUGAGCAAGCAGAAAUACUAUCGUAAAAGAGUAAUUUCUGAGCUUUGAUUAUUAAAAUGUACAGCUUCACAAAUAAAGUAUAAAGGAACAUGUC